UCUGCGGUUGUUGAACUCCAGUAAGAAGUCUAUUUUAUUCACUUUAAAUGAAGUGAUUCUCUUUAAUGUAGUUGAUGCUGAUUCAUUAAUAAAUUGGUUGUUGCAAAAAAUGCUGAUUACCGAUGUAUUUUACCAUGAAUCUGCUAUGUUUAUGAUUAAAACGUUACUUAGUUAGUAAACGUUAGCUUGUUAUAUAGGACGUCACAAACUGCAACUUUUUUAGGCGACAUGGCAUGAUCUGAACAUUAACGGUAACAACCACCGAUUCUGCCAUGCAGGUCCCGUGUCACACACAGCCGCGAACAUACCGGUUACAAUUUUGUGACGUUGGCACUAUAUUUAGCGUCCACAAAAGCUGUGCAGCUUUUAUUCAGGAGGAUGUUUUCUCAGCUUCUAUUUUAUGCAGUAUGUGCGCGGCGGAUAAGCUAAACAUUCAGUUUACUGAAACUGAUUCAUCAACGAGCACAACAAAGAAUUUAAGCAUCUGUCACUGUUUCUGACGGUUUAUUUGGCUAAACUAACAUGAAUAAAGUUUGUUGGAGGAGGCAGUGCACUACAGGGGAAAAUAACCACCACUCAUUAAUGUCGACGGUUGUCCUUGGCCGAUUGAAUUGCGAGUGCUUCAUGUACGCCUCCAGAAUGGGCUGGCUAAAGACCUUCGAUUCGCCCAUCACACCAUCAUAAAGUUGCAGAAUAACAGCUAAUAUUAAUGGAUCAUUCUAUUCAAGAGAAUGUCAACUGGAACUUGGAUGUGUGCUUAACAGGCUUAAAGAUGAACAAAUUUAUAAUGAUGAACAUCUAUAAUGAUGUUCAUCAUUAUAGAUGAACAUCUUUAUAGAUGAAAACCCUCCUGCUGAACAACGGUUUCCAAAAGUGCACACCACACUGUUGUCUACAACUCCCAGGAAGAGAAUCCUCUUCAGUAAGACUGCUGCAUGGAUAUGUCAGGUUAAGCAGUGCUGAAACCGAAAGAACUAACACUCUUUAAAAUGUUUUGUGAGUUUAUAUGAAGAGGAUAGUUACGGUGUCCCUUUUUCACAUCCAUAACGCUUGUUUAUUUGUUUUUUUAUAGAAAACUUGUGCAUAGACUUAUAUUUUAUCAUAUAAAUGCGGUUCUAUCAACAAGGGUUUAGUAAAAUACUUUUUAUAGUGUUUUGAAGUGUUAAGUUGUCUAACUAUUUAUAUUUACUUGUGCCACUUUAAUAACCUUGUUAAAUGUAUAUGUUAAAAUCUAAACUAAUGUAAUUUAUUGAAGUUA